GUGCCAGCAGCCGCGGUAAUACGGAGGGGGCUAGCGUUGUUCGGAAUCAUUGGGCGUAAAGCGAGAGUAGGUGGUUUGCUAAGUCGGGUGUGAAAUCCCUGGGCUCAACCCAGGAAGUGCAUUCGAAACUAGCUGGCUAGAAGAUGGUAGAGGAAGGUGGAAUUCCAAGUGUAGAGGUGAAAUUCGUAGAUAUUUGGAGGAAUACCGGCGGCGAAGGCGGCCUUCUGGACCAUUCUUGACACUGAGAAUCGAAAGCGUGGGUAGCAAACAGGAUUAGAUACCCUGGUAGUCC
rnacentral:rRNA from 1 species